rnacentral:rRNA from 1 species
GAGCGGAUGACGGGAGCUUGCUCCUUGAUUCAGCGGCGGACGGGUGAGUAAUGCCUAGGAAUCUGCCUGGUAGUGGGGGACAACGUUUCGAAAGGAACGCUAAUACCGCAUACGUCCUACGGGAGAAAGCAGGGGACCUUCGGGCCUUGCGCUAUCAGAUGAGCCUAGGUCGGAUUAGCUAGUUGGUGGGGUAAUGGCUCACCAAGGCGACGAUCCGUAACUGGUCUGAGAGGAUGAUCAGUCACACUGGAACUGAGACACGGUCCAGACUCCUACGGGAGGCAGCAGUGGGGAAUAUUGGACAAUGGGCGAAAGCCUGAUCCAGCCAUGCCGCGUGUGUGAAGAAGGUCUUCGGAUUGUAAAGCACUUUAAGUUGGGAGGAAGGGCAGUAAGUUAAUACCUUACUGUUUUGACGUUACCGACAGAAUAAGCACCGGCUAACUCUGUG